UUAUAUUCUCCACAGGGGGGGAUGAGAACCCCCGACCGGGGUUCGACAACUGGCGCAGCCAGUUGGACAGACCCCGCACGCAGUAAGCGGGCUGCCCCGCAGGGGCGAGCGAAGCGAGUCAAUCCCCCCCUCACCGCCA
rnacentral:sRNA from 1 species